ACAGUGAAAAAUGUACCGAGACCUUGGAGAGCCACGAACCAAGAAACUUCAGAAACCUCUGAUAUCUGAUCAAGAGUUAAGAGACGUCAGAAUCAUCACAACUGACAAAAGAAUGUUUUCUCUCUUCAAGAUUCUCUUUUGAAAGACAUCUAAAAAGAUCAGGAAAAGAAGACCUACACCAGCAUCACUUGUGAUUCUCAAUGAGCAUAACCCCCCAGAAAUAGAUGACAAGAGGGUGCCCAACACACAAGGGGAAUUACAGAAUGCAUCCCCUAAGCAAAGGAAGCAGAGUGUGUACACGCCACCCACCAUAAAAGGUGCAAAAUGAGUUGAUAACAACCAGAAGUUGACUUGUUAGUGCUGUGCUUCUACUUGAGCUUGGAAAAAUCCCAACACAAAACAAACACCACC
rnacentral:sRNA from 1 species